rnacentral:lncRNA from 1 species
AGAAACAGGCAGCCUGACUAGAGAACAAACUACCAAUUAACGAGCGAGGAAACAGGGCCAGAGAAUUGGAACAAAAUACAAGGCUGCCUCUGAAAGGAAUAUCUUUGUGCUGAUGUGUCCAUCAAGAGAACAUACACAGAAGUGACACUUGCCAGAAAAUAUUUACUGGAUAGCUACUAGACAUAAGGAUGCAGAAAUGAAUUAGAAAAAUUCCUCGCCCUUGUUCAAAGCUAUGCUGGCUCUUAGAACAUCUGAGCCCCCACUGUUUCAUCUUUAGAGGAUCCCAGCUGCUGGGGUGUGAGGCCAGUGCUGGAGCCAGCAGUCUCUGACCCAGAAGGGACCUGAGGUGCUAAAGAAAAGGGUACAAGCUGGAAAAGGGGAAAAUGAAUCAUGCUACAGGCCAAGUGUCCAUCACUGAUUCCCAGAGAUGCCCUUUGUGUGGUAGGCACUUCCAUGUGGACUCGCUACAGAGGUCAUAAGACCCUAAUUCCAGAGGGCCCUACCCUAUAACCAGAAGGAAGAACUAUUGCACAGAGAAUCUAAGAAGAAUCUAGACAGACAGCCCUUGCUGGAUUUCUCCACUCUGUUAGCAUUCGAUCAUUUGCCUUUUGUCCAGUCAUAUUUCUGCAUGGCUGUCCAUACUUUGUUGAACCUAAGCACAAAAUGGAAAGUUUUCCCUGUAUCUUUGGGUCGUCAUUCUGAAGGCUCCCAUGUUAUGUAAAACUAUGAUCAAAUAAAUAUGCAUGCCUUUUCUCCUAUAA